rnacentral:rRNA from 1 species
CACUCCUGCGGGAGGCAGCAGUGGGGAAUAUUGGACAAUGGGCGCAAGCCUGAUCCAGCCAUGCCGCGUGAGUGAUGAAGGCCCUAGGGUUGUAAAGCUCUUUCACCGGUGAAGAUAAUGACGGUAACCGGAGAAGAAGCCCCGGCUAACUUCGUGCCAGCAGCCGCGGUAAUACGAAGGGGGCUAGCGUUGUUCGGAUUUACUGGGCGUAAAGCGCACGUAGGCGGACUAUUAAGUCAGGGGUGAAAUCCCGGGGCUCAACCCCGGAACUGCCUUUGAUACUGGUAGUCUUGAGUUCGAGAGGGGUGAGUGGAAUUCCGAGUGUAGAGGUGAAAUUCGUAGAUAUUCGGAGGAACACCAGUGGCGAAGGCGGCUCACUGGCUCGAUACUGACGCUGAGGUGCGAAAGCGUGGGGAGCAAACAGGAUUAGAAACCCCGGUAGUCCCAUGAU